rnacentral:rRNA from 1 species
AGAAAUUGGUACUAAUUCCCCAUAACAUUCGAGAAGGCAUCUUCUUGGGUUAAAAACUCCGGUGGUUAAAGAUGGGCCAUGCGUUGUAUUAGCUAGUUGGUGACGGUAACGGCUCACCAAGGCAACGAUACAUAGGGGGACUGAGAGGUUAACCCCCCACAUUGGUACUGAGACACGGACCAAACUCCUACGGGAGGCAGCAGUGGGGAAUAUUGGUCAAUGGACGCAAGUCUGAACCAGCCAUGCCGCGUGCAGGAAGACAGCUCUAUGAGUUGUAAACUGCUUUUGUACUAGGGUAAACGCUCCUACGUGUAGGAGUCUGAAAGUAUAGUACGAAUAAGGAUCGGCUAACUCCGUGCCAGCAGCCGCGGUAAUACGGAGGAUCCAAGCGUUAUCCGGAUUUAUUGGGUUUAAAGGGUGCGUAGGCGGUUUGAUAAGUUAGAGGUGAAAUACCGGGGCUCAACUCCGGAACUGCCUCUAAUACUGUUGAACUAGAGAGUAGUUGCGGUAGGCGGAAUGUAUGGUGUAGCGGUGAAAUGCUUAGAGAUCAUACAGAACACCGAUUGCGAAGGCAGCUUACCAAACUAUAU